rnacentral:rRNA from 1 species
GACGAACGCUGGCGGCGUGCUUAACACAUGCAAGUCGAACGAAGUGGCGAACGGGUGAGUAACGCGUAAUCAACCUGCCCUUCAGAGGGGGACAACAGUUGGAAACGACUGCUAAUACCGCAUACUGAAGGAGGGGAUUGCGUCUGAUUAGCUGGUGGGAGGGGUAACGGCCCACCAAGGCGAUGAUCAGUAGCCGGUUUGGAGGGAGGACCGGCACAAUUGGUACUGGAGCACGGCCCAGACGCCUACGGGAGGCAGGAGGGGGGAAUCUUCCGAAAUGGACGAAAGUAUGACGGAGCAACGCCGGGUGAGUGAUGACGGCCUUCGGGUUGUAAAGCUCUGUUAAUCGGGACGCGGUACCGGAAUAGAAAGCAACGGCUAACUACGUGCCAGCAGCCGCGGUAAUAC